UACGGAGGAUGCAAGCGUUAUCCGGAAUGAUUGGGCGUAAAGCGUCCGUAGGUGGUCAUGCAAGUCUAUUGUCAAAGCACAAGGCUUAACCUUGUAAAGGCAGUGGAAACUGCAUUAACUCGAGUGCAGUAGGGGUAGAGGGAAUUCCCGGUGUAGCGGUGAAAUGCGUAGAGAUCGGGAAGAACACCAGUGGCGAAAGCGCUCUGCUGGACUGCAACUGACACUGAGGACAGAAAGCUAGGGGAGCGAAUGGGAUUAGAACCUACCGGUAGU
rnacentral:rRNA from 1 species